AUUGAACGCUAGCGGGAUGCCUUACACAUGCAAGUCGAACGGAGUGGCGAACGGGUGAGUAAUGUAUCGGAACGUGCCCAGUAGCGGGGGAUAACUACGCGAAAGCGGAGCUAAUACCGCAUACACUGGGAGGGGCGGUUAUGGGAUUAGCUUGUUGGGGGGGUAGCGGCUCACCAAGGCGACGAUCCGUAGCUGGUUUGAGAGGACGACCAGCCACACUGGGACUGAGACACGGCCCAGACUCCUACGGGAGGCAGCAGUGGGGAAUUUUGGACAAUGGGGGAAACCCUGAUCCAGCCAUCCCGCGUGUGCGAUGAAGGCCUUCGGGUUGUAAAGCACUUUUGGCAGGAAAGCGGUACCUGCAGAAUAAGCACCGGCUAACUACGUGCCAGCCGCCGCGGUAAUAC
rnacentral:rRNA from 1 species